rnacentral:tRNA from 1 species
GGGGUUGUACCUCAGUGGUAGAGGGCUUGCUUAGCAUCUGUGAGGCACUGAGUUUGAUCCUCAGCACUACA